rnacentral:rRNA from 1 species
UGGCGCACGGGUGCGUAACGCGUGGGAAUCUACCCUUAGGUUCGGAAUAACAGUUGGAAACGACUGCUAAUACCGGAUGAUGACGUAAGUCCAAAGAUUUAUCGCCUAGGGAUGAGCCCGCGUAGGAUUAGCUAGUUGGUGUGGUAAAGGCGCACCAAGGCGACGAUCCUUAGCUGGUCUGAGAGGAUGAUCAGCCACACUGGGACUGAGACACGGCCCAG